UCAGUAACACGUAGUCAACAUGCCCAGGGGACGUGGAUAACCUCGGGAAACUGAGGAUAAACCGCGAUAGGUCACUACUUCUGGAAUGGGUAAUGACCCAAACCUAUAUGGCCCCUGGAUUGGACUGCGGCCGAUCAGGCUGUUGGUGAGGUAAUGGCCCACCAAACCUGUAACCGGUACGGGCUCUGAGUGGAGGAGCCCGGAGAUGGGCACUGAGACAAGGGCCCAGGCCCUAUGGGGCGCAGCAGGCGCGAAACCUCUGCAAUAGGCGAAAGCUUGACAGGGUUACUCUGAGUGAUUUCCGUUAAGGAGAUCUUUUGGCACCUCUAAAAAUGGUGCAGAAUAAGGGGUGGGCAAGUCUGGUGCCA
rnacentral:rRNA from 1 species